AUGCCAUGCGCUUGUCAUAGCCUGAACCUUACUCUUAGUGAUAUGGCAAAAUCUUGCGGUAAAGCUGUUACCUUCUUUGGAGUUGUGCAAAGAAUUUAUAUAUUGUUUUCAAGCUCUACUAAAAGAUGGCAGCUAUUGCUUGAUCAUGUUCCAAAAAUGACAGUUAAGUCUUUGUGUAACACUCGAUGGGAGAGUCGAAUAAAGAGUGUUCAGGCUAUCAGAUAUCAAGCACCCGAGUUAAGAAAAACAUUACUGGAAUUGAAGACAACUUCUACCGAUGACGCCAAGACUAAGAGGGACGCAAAAUCUUUGGCUAGCGCACUUGAGAAAUUUGAAUUUUUACUUGGCAUGGUCAUUUGGCAUGACAUUUUGUUCACUGUAAACAUGGUGAGUAAGAAGUUGCAGUCUAAGUUUGUGUGCAUUGAUGUUACUCUUAAACAGAUUGAAGGUGCCAUCUCAUAUUUUAAGAAGUACAGAAAUGACGGCUUUGCAACUAGUCUGGAUAUUGCGAGAUCUAUUGCAAUUGACAUGGGUGUACAACCUUUGUUUCCUGUCAAGAGACGUAUUACUAGAAAAAGACAGUAUGAUGAAAUUAGUGGCAAUGACGAAAAUAACCAGAAUGAAGAAACGCAAGCAAGUGAGGUGGAAUCAUUUAGAGUUAAAUACUUUUUGGUGAUGAUUGAUGUUGCAAUUGCUUCCCUAACUACUAGAUUUGAGGAACUGAAGACAUUUGGGAGCAUAUUUGGUUUCUUGUUCAACUCGAAAGAGUUGAAGUCCUUGGGUUAUAAUGAUCUAAGAAGAUGUUGCACUAAUUUUGUCAACAAAUUCACUCAUGGUAAGUCAGCAGAUGUCGAUCUAGAUGAUUUCGUUUCUGAACUAAAAGUACUGCAGAUGACAUUGCCAAACACAUUCAUGUCAGCGGAUCAGAUAUUUGAGUUUGUUAGAGAUGCGGAUUGUUAUCUAAAUGUCUCAAUUGCUUAUCGUAUCCUUUUGACUGUACCUGUGACUAUUGCAUCAGCUGAAAGGAGUUUCUCAAAAUUGAAACUAUUGAAAAAUUAUUUGAGGUCAACGAAGUCUCAAAAAAGAUUGAAUGGAUUGGCCAUGUGCUGCAUUGGGAAGAAUAUGUUGGAUAGUAUAGAUCUUGACACUCUCAUUGAUGAUUUUGCGUCAAAAAAUGCAUGA
rnacentral:rRNA from 1 species